CCGUUCCUGACAUCGAGUUAACAAAGCCAAUCCCUUUUUAGAAGGACAGAGAAGUGCCUUGGCCUCAGGGAUAUUGCACAGGGCUAUGCCAGUUAGUACUAUGCUCUUAGUACCUAGUAUAGUUGUAACCUUAACCUAGAAGUGUCUACUAAAGGAGUUUCAUGAGUUUUUUUAAGCUUUCCUUGACUGGCUGAGGAUUGUGGGAUUCUUUUAUCUCUCCAAAAAGAAGUACAGCCUGUUUGAGAUUAAAGACAAGUACAGUGUUAUACAAAUGGAUCGGCAAGUUUUUUGGGGAAAAGUUAUGAGAGAAUAAACGACGGAAGUGUCAGUUGUGGAAGGAAGACCCAAGAGUUUACAUCGGCAGACUGUAGCACGUUCACUGAACCACUACCAAAGAGGACGUUCAAGAAAAUUGCAUCAUUAUUUCUGUCUUUACAUCACGAGUAGACAUACAAUAAUUAUGUUAAAUUGUUUGUAUAAUGAAUUGUUUAUGAUCUAGAUCUAUAAAAGAGAAGUUAACAUGUUCUUGAACUUCUAUUAACACUGUGUCUGAUCCCACUGUAAACUAUUUCAUACAAUGGCGAAAACUCCUCUAAUACUAACUUCUGAAACACGAAUGGAAGCUAGUAGCCUAACUUGAUCCUAGUAGCCUUCCUGC